CUCGAGACUAGAGUCACAUCUCGACACAGCCGUUGUCCUGGUGUGCUAGAGUCCUCGGAGAAAAUCUGCUGGUCUUGAUUCACUGGCGGGGGCAAUCAGUGCAUCCGCUAGUGCCCUGGUCAGAAACAACG
rnacentral:snoRNA from 1 species